rnacentral:rRNA from 1 species
UAAGUUCCUUGGAACAGGACGUCAUAGAGGGUGAGAAUCCCGUAUGUGACUGGACAGGCACCCUUUGUAAAGCUCCUUCGACGAGUCGAGUUGUUUGGGAAUGCAGCUCUAAAUGGGAGGUAAAUUUCUUCUAAAGCUAAAUACCGGCCAGAGACCGAUAGCGCACAAGUAGAGUGAUCGAAAGAUGAAAAGCACUUUGGAAAGAGAGUUAAAAAGCACGUGAAAUUGUUGAAAGGGAAGGGCUUGCAAUUAGACUUGCCCGCAGUUGUUCAGCUGGUCUUCUGACCGGUUUAUUCUUCUGCGGGCAGGCCAGCAUCAGUUUCGGCGGCCGGAUAAAGGCUCUGGGAAUGUGGCUGUCCUUCGGGGCAGUGUUAUAGCCCAGGGUGUAAUACGGCCAGCCGGGACUGAGGUCCGCGCUUCGGCUAGGAUGCUGGCGUAAUGAUUGUAAGCCGCCCGUCUU